CUGAGAGACUUUUCCAUGUUCAGUGACCCCUUUAAUUAAAAACUGUCCUAGAUGCACAUCAGCUGCUAAUGUUGUCUGCAGGGACUUCGAUAAAUUUGAAAGAACAAUUGUUUCCCUUAAUCACAUAUUACGAUAGCUUUGCUGCUGUCCAUUUAUUAGAUGAUAUUUGCACAAUAAAUUUAUAUAUAUUUCUCUCCAAUAUUAACAUUUGACCAACUGUGUGUUUUAUGAAUUAUAUAAAGUUAACUAUGUUGAAAGGUGUGAACUGUGCUCGUAAAAUGUGGUAAUGUACCGCGCUGCCAUACACAAAAUACAUUGUAAUUCUGGUGUGCUGACUACAUUGUUCAAAGUAUAGAAUACUGUGGUUCUUGAAAUUGUUUUGAUAAAGUAUUUGAAUAUUGCCAAAGAGUUGCGCUCAAAACAAUUUUCCAGAAAUACAAUGGUGUGUGAAAUGAAUGUAGCUAAUUGGGCUGUAAACAGUUGUGGAUUGAGACCAUUUGCUGUAUAAUUCUGGGAUUUUAAUAUGGCUAGUGUAAUUUUCUUGAGGAACUCAUCUGCCAUCUGGAGAUCCUCACAGAUCAUCUUUCAGUGGUGUCCUCAUGAAAGCAGACUGUGCAACAAAGCAAUCUCGGCUGCUGUGGUUAAUGUGUGUGUACAGAAUUGUGUCCUCUGGAAACUUACAGUUCAGUGACCUCUGCAGUAAUUAUCAGAAGUAACUCAGAGGAUGACAUCCCCUUGCAGCCUGUAUCUCAUUGGAAGAAAUGCUGGGAGUAAAAGAAGUUAAUGUGAUCGCUUGUGUUGUGCAUUUCAUUGCGGGAUUGAUCCACUUCGUUGUGACUUAUCUAGUCUCAUCAUAUUACUGAUAUGCCUGAUAUUUGUACUGUAAACUACAGUUAAUACAACACUGUGACAAAACAAAAGUAAUUGAGCAAAAUGUAAUUAUAUGAUAUUUUCUUAAAAUUAUGUUAUCUAAAAAUUGUGACUGGCCAGUCUGUGAUUUAAGCAUUUUAAUGAGUGCAUUGUUUGCAUUCUUUAGGUAAUGUAAUGUUUAUAACAUUUAAAAUAAUUUUACAUUUAAAGUUUCCCAAUAUAUAGAUAUAUAUGUGUGUGUGUGUGUGUAUAUAUAUAUAUAUAUAUAUAUAUAAUUUUAUGUUCAUUUAAUGUUAUGUUAUACAAACGUCUUUGAUGAAUAAAUAAAGACGUUAAUUAAUGUAGUAGACACUUACAAUAGAAUUAACAAAAAUCAGAGAAUAAAACAUUUGUUGAUGGAAAAUUUACUGCAUUAACAUAUGAAUGUGAUUAUUAGAGGAAUUUUGACAUUUUUAAAAUUCAGUAUAUAAAAACCUAGUAGACAUACAUAAAUAGAUGCACUUUAUGUUCCAUGAGAAUGGAAGUGUAGUACAAUACUGGUUGCAGAAUGAUAAGAGGUCAGUUAAGGCUACAAUAAUUUUGCGUACAAUUUGCUCUUAGACCACCUGAGCUUAUGUUAACUCUUAUUAAUUGUACUGUACUUCUGUGGACUUUUUUCACUCGUGUUAAAUAUUUCCUGCCCUAAAUUACUAACUCCUGUUCAUGAGAUGCUUGCAAAACAGUCGUCUUCGUGGACUGAACCCGUAUGUUUGAGAUACUGGCUAUACAUUGUAAUGGUUGAUGACUGAUUCCAAAAUAAACAAUGCCACAAUCUACGGUAGA